CUGUAACUAAGGAGAUCGGGAGGUAACUAAGGAGAUCACAGUUGUGUUUACUACAGAGAUGCCCUCCCUGCUAGCUGCUAUCUUGGAACUGGUCAACAAAAUGGCUAUAAUCUAAACUUUUCACUCUGUAUCAGCACUAAUAACGUUCUUCCCCGUACGAGCUUCCUAAAGUCCUCCGAAAAUGCAACUGAAGCAUCUUAAAACGCUUUUAACACCCCAGGAGGGUGCUGCCAAGGUGACGUGCAUGGCCUGGGCACCCAGUAGCGCUAAGCUCGCUGUUUGCACUGUUGACAGAGUGGUGCUUCUCUAUGAUGAGCAGGGAGAGAGGAGGGACAAGUUCUCCACCAAACCCCUGGACUCCAAGUAUGGAAAACAGAGCUAUGUUGUCAACGACAUGGCGUUUUCACCGGACUCCACCAAAAUCGCCAUCGGUCAGUCCGACAACAUCAUCUUUGUCUACAAAAUUGGAGAGGAUUGGGGCGACAAGAAAGCCAUUUGCAACAAAUUUGUGCAGACGAACGCAGUGACUCGCUUGCUUUGGCCUGCAGAGCAUGCAUUUGUUUAUGGAUUAGUGGACGGCAAAGUUCGUCUUGCCAACACUCUGACAAACAAGUCAUCAACCAUCUACGGCACAGAGUCCUGUGUGGUCUCACUGGCAAACAAUGUUUCUGGGAAAGGAAUCCUGUCUGGACACGCUGACGGGACAGUCGUGCGUUACUUUUUCGAUGACGAAGGUUCAGGAGAGUCUCAGGGUAAGCUGUUCAUGCACCCGUGCCCACCUUACGCUCUGGCCUGGGGUGCAAACAGCAUCAUGGUGGGCGGCUGUGACAAGAAAGUGGUGGCCUACAGCAAGGAAGGUCACAUUCUGCAGACAUUUGAGUACAGCCGCGAUCGGACAGAGAGGGAGUUCACCGUGGCCGCCACCAGCCCCAGCGGGCAGUCGGUUGUGUUUGGCAGUUAUGACCGGUUGCGGGUGUUUAACUGGGCUCCCAGGAGAGGCGUGUGGGAUGAAGCCAAGCCUAAAGAGAUUCUUAACCUCUACACCAUCACCAGCUUGGCCUGGAAGAAAGAUGGAUCACGCCUCUGUGCUGGAACACUGUGUGGGGGAGUGGAGCUGUUUGAUUGCUGCCUACGGAGAACCAUCUAUAAGAACAAGUUUGAGAUGACUUAUGUUGGCCUGAGUCAGGUGAUAGUGAGAAACCUGUCUACAGGAACCCGGGUUGUCCUGAAGUCCUAUUAUGGUUAUGAGAUAGAAGAAGUCAAAAUCAUGGGCAAAGAUCGCUACCUGGUGGCUCACACCUCCGACACUCUUCUUCUGGGAGACCUGCUGACAAAUAAACUGAGCGAGGUGCCAUGGCCCGGUUCUGGGGGAAAUGAAAAGUUCUUUUUUGAAAAUGAAACAGUGUGUAUGAUUUUUAACGCUGGGGAGCUGAGCCUGGUGGAAUACAGUAGCAAUGAGAUUCUGGGAUCUGUCAGAACAGAAUUUAUGAACCCUCACCUGAUCAGUGUCCGACUUAAUGAGAGGAAGCAGAGAGGAGUUGAAGACAACAAGAAGCUUGCAUAUCUGAUUGAUAUAAAGACCAUUUGUAUUGUGGACUUGGCCGGGGGCUGCAAUCUGGGAACCAUCAGCCAACAGUCCAAGAUUGACUGGCUGGAACUCAAUGAAACCGGACGCAAACUGCUGUUCAGGGACAAGAAGCUGCGGCUCCAUCUGUAUGACAUUGAGAGCGGCGUUAAGACGACGCUGCUGAGUUUCUGCUCCUACGUCCAGUGGGUGCCUGGCAGUGACGUGGUAGUCGGCCAAAACAGGGGAAACCUCUGCAUCUGGUACAGCAUCGACAGCCCGGAGAGCAUCACCAUGUUCCCCAUCAAGGGAGACAUCGUGGAUCUAGAAAGAGUCGACGGGAAGACCGACGUGAUUGUGACGGAGGGCGUCAACACCGUGACAUACACGCUGGACGAAGGUCUCAUUGAGUUUGGUACUGCAAUUGAUGAUGGAGAUUAUGACAGAGCUACAGCGUUCCUUGAGUCUCUGGAGAUGUCACCAGAGACUGAAGCCAUGUGGAAGACUCUCAGCAAGCUGGCUCUAGAGGCUCACCAGCUGCACAUCGCAGAAAGGUGUUUUGCAGCGUUGGGGGACGUCUCAACAGUGCGUUUCCUCCACAAAACAAACCAGAUCGCUGACAAAGUUUCACAGGAAAUGGGAGGAGAUGGAACAGAGUAUUUCCAAGUCCAAGCCCACAUGGCCAUGCUGGAUAAAAACUUUAAACUGGCUGAGAUGCACUACUCGGAGCAGAAUUCCAUCGAUGAAGCGAUAGAGAUGUACCAGGAGCUCCACAUGUGGGACGACUGCAUCGCUGUGGCUGAAGCCAAGGGCCACCCGGAGCUGGACAACCUGCGUGGGAACUAUUACCAGUGGUUAACAGAGACGGGUCAGGACGAGAAGGCCGGUGAGGUGAAGGAGAGCGAGGGAGACCUCCAGGGUGCCAUCAACCUCUAUCUGAAGGCUGGACUGCCGGCUAAAGCCGCCCGAUUGGCCAUCGGCCAUCCCGAGAUCACCAACAACAGCGACACUGUCAGCCGCAUCGCCGCCAGUCUCAUCAAGGGAGAGUUUUAUGAGAGAGCAGGAGAUCUGUAUGAGAAGAUCAGAAACAACCAGAGAGCUUUGGAGUGCUACUGCAAAGGUGGUGCCUUCAGGAAAGCGGUGGAGCUGGCUCGCCUUACCUUCCCUGCUGAGGUGGUGAAACUGGAGGAGGCCUGGGGAGACUACCUCGUCCAGCAGAAACAGAUGGACGCCGCCAUCAACCACUUCAUUGAAGCAGGCUGCUCACUUAAAGCCAUUGAGGCGGCCAUCGCAGCUCGUCAGUGGAAGAAAGCCGUCCACAUCCUGGAGUUACAGGAGGACUCAUCAGCAGGGAAAUACUACGUGAAGAUAGCUCAGCACUACGCCUCCAUGCAGGAUUAUGAGGUGGCAGAGCAACUGUUUGUGAAAGGAGGUCAAAUCAAAGAUGCUAUAGACAUGCACACUACAGCAGGACGCUGGGAGGAAGCUCAUAAGUUGGCGGUGGAGUGUAUGACAGAGGAGGAGGUCAUGGCUCUGUAUCUCAGCAGAGCUCAGGAGCUGGAGAGAGAUGGGAAAUUCAAGGAGGCUGAGAGGCUGUUUGCCACAGUAAAGCAGCCCGACCUGGCCAUAACCAUGUACAAGAAGAACCGGAUGUUUGAUGAUGUUAUUCGCCUGGUGGCCAAACAUCACCCUGACCUGCUGACAGAGACCCACCUGCACCUGGCCAAGGAGUUGGAGGCUGAAUCCAGGUUCUCAGAGGCAGAGUACCACUUCAUUGAGGCUGAAGAGUGGAAAGCGGCUGUCCACAUGUACCGAAUCAACGACAUGUGGGAGGAUGCUUACAGGGUGGCUAAGAGCCACGGAGGUGCCGUUGCCCAGAAGCAGGUGGCCUACCUGUGGGCUCGGAGUCUGGGAGGAGAGGCGGCUGUCAAGCUGCUCAACAAGUUUGGCCUCCUGGAAUACGCCAUUGAGUUUGCUUCAAAUAACUUCUCAUUUGACUUUGCCUUUGAUUUGGCUCGUCUUUCCUGUAAGGAGAAGAUUCCUGAGAUCCACCUCAAACACGCCAUAUACCUGGAGGAUGAGGGUAAGUUUCCUGAGGCCGAGAUUGAGUUCAUCAAAGCAGGAAAACCCAAAGAAGCCGUGUUCAUGUAUGUCCACAAUAAGGACUGGGCCAGUGCGCAGCGGGUGGCUGAGGGCCACGAUCCAGAGAGUGUGUCUGAGGUCCUGGUCGGCCAAGCCAAGUUCUGCUUUGAACAGAAAGAUUUCCAGAAGGCUGAAGCCUUCCUGCUACGAGCCCAGAGACCUGAACUCGCUGUUAAAUAUUACAAGGAUGCAGACAUGUGGAGUAAUGCCAUGCGUAUCUGUAAGGAGUAUCUCCCCAACAAGCUCUCCAUGCUCCAAGAGGAGUACGAGAAGGAGACCUCCAAGAAGGGAACCCAGGGUGUGGAGGGUCUGCUAGAACAGGCCAAGGAGUGGGAGCAGUCAGGGGAACACUCCCGGGCCGUGGAGUGUUACCUGAAGGUGAAGGACGACUCCAACCUAGCCCUGAUGGAGAAGUGCUGGAUGAAGGCAGCAGAGUUGUCCAUCAAGUUCCUCAGUGGGGAUCGAGCGGUGGAGGUCGUCCAGGUGGUCGGACCACGACUCACAAAGCUCAGGAAGUACAACGCUGCGGCUGAGCUCUACCUAAACAUGAAUCUCAUCAAAGAGGCAAUCAAUGUCUUUAUUGAGGGCGAAGAGUGGAACAAAGCCAAGAGAGUCGCCAAGGAGCUGGAGCCGAGGUACGAGGACUAUGUGGACCAAAAAUACAAAGAGCACCUUAAGAACCAAGGCAAAGUUGACUCUCUGGUGGGUGUGGAUGUCAUGGCAGCUCUGGACAUGUAUGCAGAGAGAGGCCAGUGGGAGAAAUGUCUGGAGACAGCAUCUAAACAGAACUUUAAGAUUCUCCAUAAGUACAUCGCUCUGUACGCUACACACCUCAUCAAGGAGGAAGACGCUCCAAAGGCUCUGCAGCUCUACAUACAGCACGGAGCACCCCCUAACCCUCAGAACUUUAACAUCUACAAGCGCCUGUUCCUGGACCUGAUCAACCUUCCCGCCACUGAUGGUCCAGAGUGUUACCGGAUGUGGGCCGAUCUCCGUAAUUUCCUGCUGCAGCUGUGCGAGAACAUGUCCAGGUCGGCCGAGGCCAACUCUCCCGCUCACGAAGACUUUGAGCAGUUGCUGCUGAUCGCUCACUACUACGCCACGCGAUCCGCAACCAGAGGAGUCCCCCAGCUGCUCAGUCUCUCAGCCAAGCUGGCGGUGUCUCUGUUGCGUCACACCGAGCUCGUUCCUGCAGACAAGGCUUUCUACGAGGCCGGCCUGGCCUGCAGGGCUGUUGGCUGGGAGAACAUGGCCUUCAUCUUCCUUAAUCACUUUCUGGAUCUGUGUGAUGCGAUUGACGAGGGGACGCUGGACGCUCUGGACCACUCCGACUUCCUGGACACCGACAUUCCCUUCGAGGUUCCAGUUCCCACCAAACUCUGUGUCACCGACGCCCAGCGGGAGGAGAUCCGUGACUGGGUGCUGAUGGUGUCCAUGGACAAUCGGUUGGAGCAGGUUCUGCCGCGUGAUGAGAGGAACUCAUAUGAAGCCUCGCUGGUGGCCACCAACACCGGCCUCCGCUCUCUGCCCUGUGUUCUUACUGGCUACCCCGUGCUGAGGGAUAAGAUUGAGUUCUCGCCUGUGGGGAAAGCAGCCAACAAGAAAGACUGGAACCAGUUCCUCGUGGCCACAAAGACCACUCACAGUUCAGAGUGUCAGGACGUCCUCAAGUUCAUCAGCCAGUGGUGUGGCAGCCUGCCGGCAUCUGGGUUCUCCUUCCACUGACACACACGCACACACACGCACACACACGCACGCACACACGCACACACACACACACACACACACACACACUGCUAUUCCUCGUUUCGUUACAUUCUUCCAUUUUUGCUGCAAGAUUUAAACUACUUCAUUCAUCUGUGUAAAUCCUGUAGAAAAUGACUUUUCUUUUUUUUUCCAUUAUUUUCUGCUACAAACAAGUCACAUUUAAAGCAAUUUAAAUGAAAAAAAAGCCUUAAAAUCAGCCACAUAUUUGAAUAUGAGGAGUAUUUGUGUCACUGGAGCAUGUUAACUCUUGCUCAGGAUGAUAUAAACCCACACAAAUUUAACGAAGUAAUUUCCUAAAACAGCUGGUCACUGGGUUUAAAACAGGAGUAAAAUUAAAAUUCACUGUGUGUGUGUGUGUGUGUGUGUGUGUGUGUGUGUGUGUGUGUGUGUGUGUGUGUGUGUGUGUGUGUGUGUGUUCAUUGUCAUGAAGGAACACGUCACCCGGUGCUCUAUGGCGAUGACGGUACACACAAACCUCCCAUUGACUUCCUGUGCUCUCACUUUAUUUUUAUCCUCUGACUGGUCAGUUUAUCCUGAGCCUUCACCAUGGAAACACAUUCCUCCACAGUCUCCUGUAUAUAUCUAUCUUUUCCUCUCCUCUUUUCUCUCUCAUUAGAAGAACUCUCGCCCAGGACGGCAUCGCUGAAUAAAAACCCAAAGGUUUUCGUCAGAUCUUAA